UCACAUGCAAGUCGAGCGGCAGCGACAUAAACAAUCCUUCGGGUGCGUUUGUGGGCGGCGAGCGGCGGACGGGUGAGUAAUGCCUGGGAAUAUGCCCUGAUGUGGGGGAUAACCAUUGGAAACGAUGGCUAAUACCGCAUAAUCUCUUCGGAGCAAAGAGGGGGACCUUCGGGCCUCUCGCGUCAGGAUUAGCCCAGGUGAGAUUAGCUAGUUGGUGAGGUAAGAGCUCACCAAGGCGACGAUCUCUAGCUGGUCUGAGAGGAUGAUCAGCCACACUGGAACUGAGACACGGUCCAGACUCCUACGGGAGGCAGCAGUGGGGAAUAUUGCACAAUGGGGGAAACCCUGAUGCAGCCAUGCCGCGUGUGUGAAGAAGGCCUUCGGGUUGUAAAGCACUUUCAGUUGUGAGGAAGGCAUAUACGUUAAUAGCGUGUGUGUUUGACGUUAGCAACAGAAGAGGCACCGGCUAACUCCGUGCCAGCAGCCGCGGUAAUACAGAG
rnacentral:rRNA from 1 species